GAUGAAGAACGCAGCGAAAUGCGAUAAGUAAUGCGAAUUGCAGAAUUCCAGUGAGUCAUCGAAUCUUUGAACGCACAUUGCGCCCUUUGGUAUUCCGAAGGGCAUGCCUGUUCGAGCGUCAUUAUCACCCCUCAAGCCCUCGGCUUGGUGUUGGACGGUUUGGUGGAGGCCCCCUCGGGGGUUCCUGCCCCUCCCAAAGACAAUGACGGCGGCCUCGUUGGACCCCCGGUACACUGAGUUCUUCACGGGACACGUAUCGGACACAUGGGUUUACGGGACACGGUCUGCCUCCCCUCAGGGAGAAUCUUUCUAAGGUUGACCUCGGAUCAGGUAGGGAUACCCGCUGAACUUAAGUAUAUCAAUAAGCGGAGGA
rnacentral:misc_RNA from 1 species